GAUGAACGCUGGCGGCGUGCCUAAUACAUGCAAGUCGAGCGGAAAGACGCUGCGCUUGCUCCUCGGACGUUAGCGGAGGGCGGGAGUGUAACACGUGGAUAACCUACCUAUAAGACUGGGAUAACUUCGGGACACCGGCGCAAAUACCGGAGAAUAUAUUGAACCGUAUGGGGGAAUGGAGAAAGACGGUUUUGCUGUCACUAAUCGGUGGAUCCGGGCCGCAUUAGCUUGUUGGUAAGGUCACGGCUUAUCAAGGGAAGGAUGCGUGGCCGACCUGCGAGGGUGGUCGGCCACACUGGAACUUAGACACCGACCAGGCUCCUAAGGGACGGCGCAGUCGGGAACCGUCCGCAGUGGUCGAAAGCAUUACGCAGCAGCGCCGCGUGUGUUAUGGAGGUGUUCCGUUCGUAAAGCUCUGCUAUGAGUUGUGAACCAAUUUCGAAUUAACCGUGCACGUCGUGACGGUACUUAAUAAGAAAGCCCCGGCUAACUACGUG
rnacentral:rRNA from 1 species